rnacentral:rRNA from 1 species
UUAAGCGACUAAGCGUACACGGUGGAUGCCCUGGCAGUCAGAGGCGAUGAAGGACGUGCUAAUCUGCGAUAAGCGUCGGUAAGGUGAUAUGAACCGUUAUAACCGGCGAUUUCCGAAUGGGGAAACCCAGUGUGUUUCGACACACUAUCAUUAACUGAAUCCAUAGGUUAAUGAGGCGAACCGGGGGAACUGAAACAUCUAAGUACCCCGAGGAAAAGAAAUCAACCGAGAUUCCCCCAGUAGCGGCGAGCGAACGGGGAGCAGCCCAGAGCCUGAAUCAGUGUGUGUGUUAGUGGAAGCGUCUGGAAAGGCGCGCGAUACAGGGUGACAGCCCCGUACACAAAAAUGCACAUAUUGUGAGCUCGAUGAGUAGGGCGGGACACGUGGUAUCCUGUCUGAAUAUGGGGGGACCAUCCUCCAAGGCUAAAUACUCCUGACUGACCGAUAGUGAACCAGUACCGUGAGGGAAAGGCGAAAAGAACCCCGGCGAGGGGAGUGAAAAAGAACCUGAAACCGUGUACGUACAAGCAGUGGGAGCACGCUUAGGCGUGUGACUGCGUACCUUUUGUAUAAUGGGUCAGCGACUUAUAUUCUGUAGCAAGGUUAACCGAAUAGGGGAGCCGAAGGGAAACCGAGUCUUAACUGGGCGUUAAGUUGCAGGGUAUAGACCCGAAACCCGGUGAUCUAGCCAUGGGCAGGUUGAAGGUUGGGUAACACUAACUGGAGGACCGAACCGACUAAUGUUGAAAAAUUAGCGGAUGACUUGUGGCUGGGGGUGAAAGGCCAAUCAAACCGGGAGAUAGCUGGUUCUCCCCGAAAGCUAUUUAGGUAGCGCCUCGUGAAUUCAUCUCCGGGGGUAGAGCACUGUUUCGGCAAGGGGGUCAUCCCGACUUACCAACCCGAUGCAAACUGCGAAUACCGGAGAAUGUUAUCACGGGAGACACACGGCGGGUGCUAACGUCCGUCGUGAAGAGGGAAACAACCCAGACCGCCAGCUAAGGUCCCAAAGUCAUGGUUAAGUGGGAAACGAUGUGGGAAGGCCCAGACAGCCAGGAUGUUGGCUUAGAAGCAGCCAUCAUUUAAAGAAAGCGUAAUAGCUCACUGGUCGAGUCGGCCUGCGCGGAAGAUGUAACGGGGCUAAACCAUGCACCGAAGCUGCGGCAGCGACACUAUGUGUUGUUGGGUAGGGGAGCGUUCUGUAAGCCUGUGAAGGUGUGCUGUGAGGCAUGCUGGAGGUAUCAGAAGUGCGAAUGCUGACAUAAGUAACGAUAAAGCGGGUGAAAAGCCCGCUCGCCGGAAGACCAAGGGUUCCUGUCCAACGUUAAUCGGGGCAGGGUGAGUCGACCCCUAAGGCGAGGCCGAAAGGCGUAGUCGAUGGGAAACAGGUUAAUAUUCCUGUACUUGGUGUUACUGCGAAGGGGGGACGGAGAAGGCUAUGUUGGCCGGGCGACGGUUGUCCCGGUUUAAGCGUGUAGGCUGGUUUUCCAGGCAAAUCCGGAAAAUCAAGGCUGAGGCGUGAUGACGAGGCACUACGGUGCUGAAGCAACAAAUGCCCUGCUUCCAGGAAAAGCCUCUAAGCAUCAGGUAACAUCAAAUCGUACCCCAAACCGACACAGGUGGUCAGGUAGAGAAUACCAAGGCGCUUGAGAGAACUCGGGUGAAGGAACUAGGCAAAAUGGUGCCGUAACUUCGGGAGAAGGCACGCUGAUAUGUAGGUGAAGUCCCUCGCGGAUGGAGCUGAAAUCAGUCGAAGAUACCAGCUGGCUGCAACUGUUUAUUAAAAACACAGCACUGUGCAAACACGAAAGUGGACGUAUACGGUGUGACGCCUGCCCGGUGCCGGAAGGUUAAUUGAUGGGGUUAGCCGCAAGGCGAAGCUCUUGAUCGAAGCCCCGGUAAACGGCGGCCGUAACUAUAACGGUCCUAAGGUAGCGAAAUUCCUUGUCGGGUAAGUUCCGACCUGCACGAAUGGCGUAAUGAUGGCCAGGCUGUCUCCACCCGAGACUCAGUGAAAUUGAACUCGCUGUGAAGAUGCAGUGUACCCGCGGCAAGACGGAAAGACCCCGUGAACCUUUACUAUAGCUUGACACUGAACAUUGAGCCUUGAUGUGUAGGAUAGGUGGGAGGCUUUGAAGUGUGGACGCCAGUCUGCAUGGAGCCGACCUUGAAAUACCACCCUUUAAUGUUUGAUGUUCUAACGUUGACCCGUAAUCCGGGUUGCGGACAGUGUCUGGUGGGUAGUUUGACUGGGGCGGUCUCCUCCUAAAGAGUAACGGAGGAGCACGAAGGUUGGCUAAUCCUGGUCGGACAUCAGGAGGUUAGUGCAAUGGCAUAAGCCAGCUUGACUGCGAGCGUGACGGCGCGAGCAGGUGCGAAAGCAGGUCAUAGUGAUCCGGUGGUUCUGAAUGGAAGGGCCAUCGCUCAACGGAUAAAAGGUACUCCGGGGAUAACAGGCUGAUACCGCCCAAGAGUUCAUAUCGACGGCGGUGUUUGGCACCUCGAUGUCGGCUCAUCACAUCCUGGGGCUGAAGUAGGUCCCAAGGGUAUGGCUGUUCGCCAUUUAAAGUGGUACGCGAGCUGGGUUUAGAACGUCGUGAGACAGUUCGGUCCCUAUCUGCCGUGGGCGCUGGAGAACUGAGGGGGGCUGCUCCUAGUACGAGAGGACCGGAGUGGACGCAUCACUGGUGUUCGGGUUGUCAUGCCAAUGGCACUGCCCGGUAGCUAAAUGCGGAAGAGAUAAGUGCUGAAAGCAUCUAAGCACGAAACUUGCCCCGAGAUGAGUUCUCCCUGACUCCUUGAGAGUCCUGAAGGAACGUUGAAGACGACGACGUUGAUAGGCCGGGUGUGUAAGCGCAGCGAUGCGUUGAGCUAACCGGUACUAAUGAACCGUGAGGCUUAACCU